GCAUCGAUGAAGAACGCAGCAAACUGCGAUAAGUAAUGCGAAUUGCAGAAUUCAGCGAGUCAUCGAAUCUUUGAACGCACAUUGCGCCCGCCAGCACUCUGGCGGGCAUGCCUGUCCGAGCGUCAUUU
rnacentral:rRNA from 1 species